rnacentral:rRNA from 1 species
GACGAACGCUGGCGGCGUGCCUAAUACAUGCAAGUAGGACGCACAGUUUAUACCGUAGCUUGCUACACCAUAGACUGUGAGUUGCGAACGGGUGAGUAACGCGUAGGUAACCUGCCUAUUAGAGGGGGAUAACUAUUGGAAACGAUAGCUAAUACCGCAUAACAGUAUGUAACACAUGUUAGAUGCGGGAAAGAUGCAAUUGCAUCGCUAGUAGAUGGACCUGCGUUGUAUUAGCUAGUAGGUAGGGUAAAGGCCUACCUAGGCAACGAUACAUAGCCGACCUGAGAGGGUGAUCGGCCACACUGGGACUGAGACACGGCCCAGACUCCUACGGGAGGCAGCAGUAGGGAAUCUUCGGCAAUGGGGGGAACCCUGAUCGAGCAACGCCGCGUGAGUGAAGAAGGUUUUCGGAUCGUAAAGCUCUGUUGUUAAGGAAGAACGACGUGUGAUGAAGGGAAAGUUCAUACUGUGACGGUACUUAACCAGAAAGGGACGGCUAACUACGUGCCAGCAGCCGCGGUAAUACGUAGGUCCCGAGCGUUGUCCGGAUUUAUUGGGCGUAAAGCGAGCGCAGGCGGUUAGAAAAGUCUGAAGUGAAAGGCAGUGGCUCAACCAUUGUAGGCUUUGGAAACUGUUUAACUUGAGUGCAGAAGGGGAGAGUGGAAUUCCAUGUGUAGCGGUGAAAUGCGUAGAUAUAUGGAGGAACACCGGUGGCGAAAGCGGCUCUCUGGUCUGUAACUGACGCUGAGGCUCGAAAGCGUGGGGAGCGAACAGGAUUAGAUACCCUGGUAGUCCACGCCGUAAACGAUGAGUGCUAGGUGUUAGGUCCUUUCCGGGACUUAGUGCCGCAGCUAACGCAUUAAGCACUCCGCCUGGGGAGUACGACCGCAAGGUUGAAACUCGAAGGAAUUGACGGGGGCCCGCACAAGCGGUGGAGCAUGUGGUUUAAUUCGAAGCAACGCGAAGAACCUUACCAGGUCUUGACAUCCCGAUGCUAUUUCUAGAGAUAGGAAGUUUCUUC